rnacentral:rRNA from 1 species
UACGUAGGGGGCGAGCGUUGUCCGGAAUCAUUGGGCGUAAAGCGCGUGUAGGCGGCUCGGUAAGUCCGGUGUGAAACCUUGGGGCUCAACCCCAAGCCUGCACUGGAUACUGUCGAGCUUGAGUCCGGGAGGGGAGAGCGGAAUUCUAGUGUAGCGGUGAAAUGCGCAGAUAUUAGGAAGAACACCGGUGGCGAAGGCGGCUCUCUGGAACGGUACUGACGCUGAGACGCGGAAAAGCGUGGGGGAAGCGAACAGGGA